rnacentral:rRNA from 1 species
GACGAACGCUGGCGGCGUGCUUAACACAUGCAAGUCGAACGGAAAGGCCCUGCUUGCAGGGUACUCGAGUGGCGAACGGGUGAGUAACACGUGGGUGAUCUGCCCUGCACUUCGGGAUAAGCCUGGGAAACUGGGUCUAAUACCGGAUAGGAGCCAUUUUUAGUGUGAUGGUUGGAAAGUUUUUUCGGUGUAGGAUGAGCUCGCGGCCUAUCAGCUUGUUGGUGGGGUAAUGGCCUACCAAGGCGGCUACGGGUAGCCGGCCUGAGAGGGUGGACGGCCACAUUGGGACUGAGAUACGGCCCAGACUCCUACGGGAGGCAGCAGUGGGGAAUAUUGCACAAUGGGCGCAAGCCUGAUGCAGCGACGCCGCGUGGGGGAUGACGGCCUUCGGGUUGUAAACUCCUUUCGCUAGGGACGAAGCUUUUUGUGACGGUACCUAGAGAAGAAGCACCGGCUAACUACGUG